rnacentral:tRNA from 1 species
CAUACGAAUAGUUAAUUGAGAAGUUGCUAACUUUUUAAUAGCAUAGUGCUACGUAUAA